AACGAACGCUGGCGGCAUGCCUAACACAUGCAAGUCGAACGAGAUCUUCGGAUCUAGUGGCGCACGGGUGCGUAACGCGUGGGAAUCUGCCCUCUGGUUCGGAAUAACUUCGGGAAACUGAAGCUAAUACCGGCUGAUGACUUCGGUCCAAAGAUUUAUCGCCAAAGGAGGAGCCCGCGUAAGAUUAGCUAGUUGGUGGGGUAAAGGCCUACCAAGGCGACGAUCUUUAGCUGGUCUGAGAGGAUGAUCAGCCACAAUGGGACUGAGACACGGCCCAGACUCCUACGGGAGGCAGCAGUGGGGAAUAUUGGACAAUGGGCGAAAGCCUGAUCCAGCAAUGCCGCGUGAGUGAUGAAGGCCUUAGGGUUGUAAAGCUCUUUUACCCGGGAUGAUAAUGACAGUACCGGGAGAAUAAGCUCCGGCUAACUCCGUGCCAGCCGCCGCCGUAA
rnacentral:rRNA from 1 species